rnacentral:rRNA from 1 species
UAAAGAAUUUCGGUUAUCGAUGGGGAUGCGUUCCAUUAGUUAGUUGGCGGGGUAACGGCCCACCAAGACGACGAUGGAUAGGGGUUCUGAGAGGAAGGUCCCCCACAUUGGAACUGAGACACGGUCCAAACUCCUACGGGAGGCAGCAGUGAGGAAUAUUGGUCAAUGGACGAGAGUCUGAACCAGCCAAGUAGCGUGAAGGAUGACUGCCCUAUGGGUUGUAAACUUCUUUUAUAUGGGAAUAAAACAGGGUAUGCAUACCCUCUUGUAUGUACCAUAUGAAUAAGGAUCGGCUAACUCCGUGCCAGCAGCCGCGGUAAUACGGAGGAUCCGAGCGUUAUCCGGAUUUAUUGGGUUUAAAGGGAGCGUAGGUGGAUUGUUAAGUCAGUUGUGAAAGUUUGCGGCUCAACCGUAAAAUUGCAGUUGAAACUGGCAGUCUUGAGCACAGUAGAGGUGGGCGGAAUUCGUGGUGUAGCGGUGAAAUGCUUAGAUAUCACGAAGAACUCCGAUUGCGAAGGCAGCUCACUGGACUGCAACUGACACUGAUGCUCGAAAGUGUGGGUAUCAAACAGGAUUAGAUACCCUGGUAGUCCACACAGUAAACGAUGAAUACUCGCUGUUUGCGAUAUACAGUAA